AUCUCUAUCAUGAAGAAUUAUCGAAUUAAAAUCAUAAAAGCCUUCGUCUUCACGGGUAAUGUUGUAAAUUUGAAGGUCUGCAUGAAUUUGAUUGUUGAUGAUACUGCUUGAGUUGCGUCUCCUGUAUUGACGUUUGCCAUUUGGCCUAUGAUAAACAGGAAAAUCGAAUGAAUGUUUAAUAAUUGGUGAAGACCCCGCUAUUGCACAUACACGUUCGAUUG
rnacentral:lncRNA from 1 species